CAUAGGUUAAUGAGGCGAACCGGGGGAACUGAAACAUCUAAGUACCCCGAGGAAAAGAAAUCAACCGAGAUUCCCCCAGUAGCGGCGAGCGAACGGGGAGGAGCCCAGAGCCUGAAUCAGUGUGUGUGUUAGUGGAAGCGUCUGGAAAGGCGCGCGAUACAGGGUGACAGCCCCGUACACAAAAAUGCACAUAUUGUGAGCUCGAUGAGUAGGGCGGGACACGUGGUAUCCUGUCUGAAUAUGGGGGGACCAUCCUCCAAGGCUAAAUACUCCUGACUGACCGAUAGUGAACCAGUACCGUGAGGGAAAGGCGAAAAGAACCCCGGCGAGGGGAGUGAAAAAGAACCUGAAACCGUGUACGUACAAGCAGUGGGAGCCUCUUAAUGGGGUGACUGCGUACCUUUUGUAUAAUGGGUCAGCGACUUAUAUUCUGUAGCAAGGUUAACCGAAUAGGGGAGCCGAAGGGAAACCGAGUCUUAACUGGGCGUUAAGUUGCAGGGUAUAGACCCGAAACCCGGUGAUCUAGCCAUGGGCAGGUUGAAGGUUGGGUAACACUAACUGGAGGACCGAACCGACUAAUGUUGAAAAAUUAGCGGAUGACUUGUGGCUGGGGGUGAAAGGCCAAUCAAACCGGGAGAUAGCUGGUUCUCCCCGAAAGCUAUUUAGGUAGCGCCUCGUGAAUUCAUCUCCGGGGGUAGAGCACUGUUUCGGCAAGGGGGUCAUCCCGACUUACCAACCCGAUGCAAACUGCGAAUACCGGAGAAUGUUAUCACGGGAGACACACGGCGGGUGCUAACGUCCGUCGUGAAGAGGGAAACAACCCAGACCGCCAGCUAAGGUCCCAAAGUCAUGGUUAAGUGGGAAACGAUGUGGGAAGGCCCAGACAGCCAGGAUGUUGGCUUAGAAGCAGCCAUCAUUUAAAGAAAGCGUAAUAGCUCACUGGUCGAGUCGGCCUGCGCGGAAGAUGUAACGGGGCUAAACCAUGCACCGAAGCUGCGGCAGCGACACUAUGUGUUGUUGGGUAGGGGAGCGUUCUGUAAGCCUGUGAAGGUGGCCUGUGAGGGUUGCUGGAGGUAUCAGAAGUGCGAAUGCUGACAUAAGUAACGAUAAAGCGGGUGAAAAGCCCGCUCGCCGGAAGACCAAGGGUUCCUGUCCAACGUUAAUCGGGGCAGGGUGAGUCGACCCCUAAGGCGAGGCCGAAAGGCGUAGUCGAUGGGAAACAGGUUAAUAUUCCUGUACUUGGUGUUACUGCGAAGGGGGGACGGAGAAGGCUAUGUUGGCCGGGCGACGGUUGUCCCGGUUUAAGCGUGUAGGCUGGUUUUCCAGGCAAAUCCGGAAAAUCAAGGCUGAGGCGUGAUGACGAGGCACUACGGUGCUGAAGCGACAAAUGCCCUGCUUCCAGGAAAAGCCUCUAAGCAUCAGGUAACAUCAAAUCGUACCCCAAACCGACACAGGUGGUCAGGUAGAGAAUACCAAGGCGCUUGAGAGAACUCGGGUGAAGGAACUAGGCAAAAUGGUGCCGUAACUUCGGGAGAAGGCACGCUGAUAUGUAGGUGAAGCGACUUGCUCGUGGAGCUGAAAUCAGUCGAAGAUACCAGCUGGCUGCAACUGUUUAUUAAAAACACAGCACUGUGCAAACACGAAAGUGGACGUAUACGGUGUGACGCCUGCCCGGUGCCGGAAGGUUAAUUGAUGGGGUUAGCGGUAACGCGAAGCUCUUGAUCGAAGCCCCGGUAAACGGCGGCCGUAACUAUAACGGUCCUAAGGUAGCGAAAUUCCUUGUCGGGUAAGUUCCGACCUGCACGAAUGGCGUAAUGAUGGCCAGGCUGUCUCCACCCGAGACUCAGUGAAAUUGAACUCGCUGUGAAGAUGCAGUGUACCCGCGGCAAGACGGAAAGACCCCGUGAACCUUUACUAUAGCUUGACACUGAACAUUGAGCCUUGAUGUGUAGGAUAGGUGGGAGGCUUUGAAGUGUGGACGCCAGUCUGCAUGGAGCCGACCUUGAAAUACCACCCUUUAAUGUUUGAUGUUCUAACGUGGGCCCCUUACCGGGGUUGCGGACAGUGUCUGGUGGGUAGUUUGACUGGGGCGGUCUCCUCCUAAAGAGUAACGGAGGAGCACGAAGGUUGGCUAAUCCUGGUCGGACAUCAGGAGGUUAGUGCAAUGGCAUAAGCCAGCUUGACUGCGAGCGUGACGGCGCGAGCAGGUGCGAAAGCAGGUCAUAGUGAUCCGGUGGUUCUGAAUGGAAGGGCCAUCGCUCAACGGAUAAAAGGUACUCCGGGGAUAACAGGCUGAUACCGCCCAAGAGUUCAUAUCGACGGCGGUGUUUGGCACCUCGAUGUCGGCUCAUCACAUCCUGGGGCUGAAGUAGGUCCCAAGGGUAUGGCUGUUCGCCAUUUAAAGUGGUACGCGAGCUGGGUUUAGAACGUCGUGAGACAGUUCGGUCCCUAUCUGCCGUGGGCGCUGGAGAACUGAGGGGGGCUGCUCCUAGUACGAGAGGACCGGAGUGGACGCAUCACUGGUGUUCGGGUUGUCAUGCCAAUGGCACUGCCCGGUAGCUAAAUGCGGAAGAGAUAAGUGCUGAAAGCAUCUAAGCACGAAACUUG
rnacentral:rRNA from 1 species